AAUUUUUUAUAUAUAUUUGUGAGUUGUUUUUGAUAUAUUGUAUGAAUUGCUUGUGUAUUACUAUAGUAUUAUAUUUGAAAAACAGGUCAAUCCAAACCAAACGGAGAGGUUCACAAGUUUGAUCAUAAGUCGAGAAGGUUAACAAUGCUUCAUGUGCAUCGUUUGACAUUAUUAUCACAGCCAUGUACUACUGAACUAGUACUAAUUAUUUAAUUUCAAAUAAUAGCGGUGGAUCAUACAUAAUCUGCUACUUGUAAAUUUGACUUAUCAUUGUUUUUUGGUUAUGAUUGGUAUUAAUUUACUACGCAGUGAUGUCAAAUUAUGCAUGCUGAUAGCUUUUCGGCAGAUCGGAUGGGCGUAGUAGCUUUUUUUUUUUUUUUUGUGGGUGUAAUAGUAUGAUCUGUGAAACUCAAUUAACUUAUUUUAUUUACCUUGAAGGUUUUGAUGUGCUUAAAUACACUACUUUUCUAACAGAUGUUUUGCGUUCCUUCCUGCAAAAUACGGGGGACUAGGAAUGGCUGAAGAGGAGAUUUAGGUCUCCAGGAAAACACUUGACCGUUUAAGGCUGUGGAUGGUUUAUUGAGAGAAUUGCUGGAAUGUGUGUAGAAUUAAAAUUGAAUUCUACAAAAAAUUUUACUCGAAAUUCUGUAAAAUCCAAUUUUGUUGCCACACAAACUCCAAGUCUCUCCAAAAACCAGAAACAGCAGCAAACGUUCUAUAUAUAUCUUUCGUGCUAGUGAGGUGAUGGAUGCCAGCACGCACACCUGUUUCAGAGACUAGGGAAGGCUGGCCGUGCAUUCCCACCUCAAGUUUAUUAGUAUUGCUGCUUUGUGUACUUUUGAUCGUGGAUUUUGAUACAAUAAUCAUGUGGAAUGAAAUUCAUGAACUUUCCAGUUUAUUAGCGUGUGUUUAGCAAAGGCAUUAUGUAAAGCAACGGAAUCUUGAGUGUGUUUGAAGUUGUAUGACAUUCAUGCAUUCUACUGCAUUGCACUUAUCAGUUUUUUUUGAAGUGUUCUGAUCACUCAAAUAUAUAGUUUCCUUUAAGCUCUCU